GAACUGCAGUCUGUCACCAACUGCAUUCCUCAUCGUGUAACGGAUUCGCAAUUAUGGUUAAUAAGGCGUCGUAUGCUGUUGGGUGUUGUAUCGUUGAUGGAUGGGUCGACCGCUGGUGUAACGAUGUCUCCUUGAUAAGGCGGAAACCAAACCGCAACGCCGUCGCCUUCCUACACAACUUACGCAACGACCAGCGCCUGCACCGAGGUCUUCAAGUACUACACCAAUAAAGCACCGGAGUUUUAUACCACAACUUACGCUGACCCGAGCCACUACACUGAUGCCCUGAAGUAUUACUCUGCCCUGAGUUACUACACAAUCUAGGCGAUGGAGUGCUACAUGACUACGUAUGCUGCCUAUCCUACUACACUGAGGCUCCCAAGUGCAACACCGAGGCUCCCGCUGAUUACUCCACCAAAACGGUCGAAUACUACACCGAAG